rnacentral:rRNA from 1 species
AUUGAACGCUGGCGGCCGGCCUAACACAUGCAAGUCGCACGAGUGGCGGACGGGUGAGUAAUGUCUGGGAAACUGCCUGAGGGAGGGGGAUAACUACUGGAAACGGUAGCUAAUACCGCAUACCAUCAGAUGUGCCCAGAUGGGAUUCGCUUGUUGUUUGGGUAACGGUGCACAAAGGCGACGAUCCCUAGCUGGUCUUAGAGGAGGACCAGCCACACGGGAACUGUGACACGGUCCAGACUCCGACGGGAGGCAGCAGUGGGGAAUAUUGCGCAAUGGGCGCAAGCCUGAUGCAGCCAUGCGGAGUGUAUGAAGAAGGCCGUCUGGUUGUAAAGUACUUUCAGCGGUGAGGCGUUACCCGCAGAAGAAGCACCGGCUAACUCCGUGCCAGCAGCCGCGGUAAUUC